rnacentral:rRNA from 1 species
AUUAGCUAGUUGGUAAGGUAACGGCUUACCAAGGCGACGAUGUUUAGGGGACCUGAGAGGGUUGUCCCCCACACUGGUACUGAGACACGGACCAGACUCCUACGGGAGGCAGCAGUGAGGAAUAUUGGUCAAUGGGCGCAAGCCUGAACCAGCCAUCCCGCGUGAAGGAAGAAUGCGCUACGCGUUGUAAACUUCUUUUCCAGGGGGAGAAUAAUCCUGUCGUGACAGGACUUGACGGUACUCUGGGAAUAAGCAUCGGCUAACUCCGUGCCAGCAGCCGCGGUAAUACGGAGGAUGCGAGCGUUAUCCGGAUUUAUUGGGUUUAAAGGGUGCGUAGGCGGAUUGAUAAGUCAGUGGUGAAAUUCUACAGCUUAACUGUAGACUUGCCGUUGAUACUGUUAGUCUUGAGUGUGGUCAAGGCAGGCGGAAUGUGUAAUGUAGCGGUGAAAUGCUUAGAUAUUACACAGAACACCGAUUGCGAAGGCAGCUUGCUGGGUCAUUACUGACGCUGAUGCACGAAAGCGUGGGGAUCAAACAGGAUUAGAUACCCUGGUAGUCCACGCCGUAAACUAUGAUCACUCGCUGUUGGCGAUACACAGUCAGCGGCUAAGCAAAAGCAUUAA